rnacentral:rRNA from 1 species
AGAGCGAACGCUGGCGGCAGGCCUAACACAUGCAAGUCGAACGGACUCUUCGGGGUUAGUGGCGGACGGGUGAGUAACACGUGGGAACGUGCCUUUAGGUUCGGAAUAGCUCCUGGAAACGGGUGGUAAUGCCGAAUGUGCCCUUCGGGGGAAAGAUUUAUCGCCUUUAGAGCGGCCCGCGUCUGAUUAGCUAGUUGGUGAGGUAAAGGCUCACCAAGGCUACGAUCAGUAGCUGGUCUGAGAGGAUGACCAGCCACAUUGGGACUGAGACACGGCCCAAACUCCUACGGGAGGCAGCAGUGGGGAAUCUUGCGCAAUGGGCGAAAGCCUGACGCAGCCAUGCCGCGUGAAUGAUGAAGGUCUUAGGAUUGUAAAAUUCUUUCAGUAGGGACGAUAAUGACGUACCUACAGAAGAAGCCCCGGCUAACUUCGUGCCAGCAGCCGAC